GAGAUAUGAAGGAACACCAGUGGCGAAGGGGAUUUUUUGGUUUGUAACCGACAGUGAGGCGUGAAUGCGUGGGGAGCAAACAGGAUUAGAUACCCUGGUAGUCCACGCCGUAAAUGAUGAGUGCUAAGUGUUAGAGGGUUUCCCGCCCUUUAGUGCUGAAGUUAACGCAUUAAGCACUCCGCCUGGGGAGUACGGCCGCAAGGUUGAAAUUCAAAGGAAUUGACGGGGGCCCGCACAAGCGGUGGAGCAUGUGGUUUAAUUGGAAGCAACGCGAAGAACCUUACCAGGUCUUGACAUCCUUUGAAAACCCUAGAGAUAGGGCUUCUCCUUCGGGAGCAGAGUGACAGGUGGUGCAUGGUUGUCGUCAGCUCGUGUCGUGAGAUGUUGGGUUAAGUCCCGCAACGAGCGCAACCCUUGAUCUUAGUUGCCAUCAUUAAGUUGGGCACUUUAAGGUGACUGCCGGUGACAAACCGGAGGAAGGUGGGGAUGACGUCAAAUCAUCAUGCCCCUUAUGACCUGGGCUACACACGUGCUACAAUGGACGGUACAAAGAGCUGCAAGACCGCGAGGUGGAGCUAAUCUCAUAAAACCGUUCUCAGUUCGGAUUGUAGGCUGCAACUCGCCUACAUGAAGCAGGAAUCGCUAGUAAUCGCGGAUCAGCAUGCCGCGGAGAAUACGUUCCCGGGCCUUGUACACACCGCCCGUCCACACCACGAGAGUUUGUAACUACCCCGAAAGCUCGGGAUUUGGG
rnacentral:rRNA from 1 species